CACUUCUAAGGAAGGCAGCAGGCGCGCAAAUUACCCAAUCCUGACUCAGGGAGGUAGUGACAAGAAAUAACAAUAAACCGGCUUAUGCCGGUUUAAUUGGAAUGAGUACAAUUUAAACAUCUUAACGAGGAACAAUUGGAGGGCAAGUCUGGUGCCAGCAGCCGCGGUAAUUCCAGCUCCAAUAGCGUAUACUAAAGUUGUUGCAGUUAAAAAGCUCGUAGUUGGAUUUCUGUGGGGACGGAGCGGCCGGCCGCACAUCGCGGUUCGAGCUAGCGCUUUCCCUACAUCCUGCCGCGAACCGUGCUACCAUUAGUUUGGUGGCGCCGGGGAUCGGCUCGAUUACUUUGAGAAAAAUAGAGUGUUCAAAGCAGGCCACAUGCCUUGAAUAAGUUAGCAUGGAAUAAUAACUAAGGACUUCGGUUCUAUUUUGUUGGUGUUCGGGACUGAAGUAAUGAUUGAUAGGGACAGUUGGGGCGGUCUGUAUUCCAGAGCGAGAGGUGAAAUUCUUAGACCUUCGGAAGACAAACAGCUGCGAAAGCGUUCCGCAAGGAUGUUCCCUUUGAUCAAAGAACGAAAGUUGGGGGAUCGAAGACGAUCAGAUACCGUCGUAGUCUCAACUAUAAACUAUACCAGCUAGGGAUCGGCCAACGUUAUUUUAUACCGACUUGGUCGGCACCUUAUGAGAAAUCAAAGCAUCUGGGUUCCGGGGGGAGUAUGGUCGCAAGGCUGAAACUUAAAGGAAUUGACGGAAGGGCACCACCAGCCGUGGAGCCUGUGGCUUAAUUUGACUCAACACGGGAAAACUUACCAGGUCCAGACAUAGUAAGGAUUGACAGAUUGAUAGCUCUUUCUUGAUUCUGUGGGUGGUGGUGCAUGGCCGUUCUUAGUUGGUGGAGUGAUUUGUCUGGUUAAUUCCGUUAACGAACGAGACCCCAGCCUGCUAAAUAGCGCGCGUGAGCUUUGCUCGCGGCGAGCUUCUUAGAGGGACUCUGAUGCGCGAUAGCACAUGGAAGUUUGGGGCAAUAACAGGUCUGUGAUGCCCUUAGAUGUUCUGGGCCGCACACGGGCUACACUGGCGCCUGCAACGAGCAUAUCAGCUGGCCCGAGAGGGUCUUGGCUAAUCUUUUGAACCGGCGCCGUGCUUGGGAUUGACCUUUGCAAUUGUUGGUCAUGCAACGAGGAAUGCCUUGUAAACGCGAGUCAUCAGCUCGCAUUGAAUACGUCCCUGCCCUUUGUACACGCCGCCCGUCGCUCCUACCGAUGAAUGUUCCGAUGAAAUUUUCGGAGAGCACCUGUGAACUUGGCUCUGCCUUGCGAACGGGAGGCUCAAAGUCACUUAAAUCUGAACAUUUCGAGG
rnacentral:rRNA from 1 species